UCUUCCUUACAAAUUAUCCUAAACUGGUACUUUGCCUACUGCCAUGCAUAGCUCCUAAAGGCAGAACACGGGACAAUCUCCCUCUUUGUUUUUGUGGGUGCCAUCCUGAGAACAGAAAUGGCUCUUAAAGGCAUGAGAGGACAUU